CAGUACAUCAGGCAGCGCUUCAACUCGGCCAUUGCACUGACCGCCUGUAUCAGCUACCUUUUCCUCACGCAAAGCAUUGGCGCACUAGCCAUCUUCGCGGCCGGUAUUACCAUCGACACAGUUUUUGGAGUGCCCUUGGUGCUGUGCAACAUUGUUAUUGGACUCUUCGGAACUCUCUACACUGCACUGGUGAGCCACAUUCUUGCUAUCAAUUCGAAUGCAUCUUUCUGCAUGAAAUUUU